GCCAUGGGCGGGCGAGAGGAGCACGGUGACGGGGCAUGGUUUUAGAAGGGGGUCGGGGAAGGCCCUCUGAAGAGGUGACAUUGGGGUGGAUCCAUGAGACAGGUGACACUGGAGAAGGAGCACGUGACGGUUGAUAUGCCGAGGUCCUCGUCUAUAGCCGCAGAAAAUGGACCACGACGCGGGCUGAUCUGACGCUUCACCUACCAGAACCGUGGCGCCUCGUGCCCUCCUGCAUCCGUUUUUCGCUCACCUCUUAAAUCCAGUCCCGCAGCAAAUAUAAUCAGCUUGACCUUCAGCAGAUAGCCAGAAUCGGACCCCCUGUGCGGCCCCCACUGCUGCUCUUGGUCCCCACCACCCGCGUCUCCUGCCCGGACUUGGCAGCAGCGCGACUUUGGUGCAUCCCCGCCCUGCGUCGCUACUCCCCACCUGGCCCUCAGAUCCCCUUAGAACCCAGGACAGCUCACAUCCCUCCUUGACUCUGAGCCCUCCUCUGGCUCCGGGCUCACCCAGAUCAAAGAUCUCACCAUGGACCACCAGAUCCUGCAGGAUAUGGCCCCUUUGUCUUGUCUUGGACUUUAGCUGCCCUUCACUCACUCCAUAUGUGCACCCUGGCCUCUUGCUGCACUCCAAAUACAACAGACACAUUCCCACCUCAGGGCCUCUGCACAGAGCUUCCCUCUUGUUGGAUAUGGAAAAGGACAAACCCCAAAAUAAUGUGGCCCAGGGCGAAGGAAUGAAAAAGUCACUGUCUUUCCCAGGGACAAGACAAGCCCCGGGAAGAAAUUUCCAUCAAGUCUGAAAUGAUGGUUUCUGGGAAGAGGCCAAAGCAUUGAUCCCACCCUAAACUGACCCCACAACCCCAACUGAUAUUUAUCUUUAUUUGUAAAAAUAAAUCCUAGGCAUGGCCCACUGACCCCACACCCACUAACCCCACACCCUCCAUCUGGCUCAGUUAAGAGAGCCCAAAUUGACACACUCAUUAAUUGAGUCACCUCUCAGUGUGACCUAUAUAACCCAAAACCUCCCUUGGGCCGAUGGCUCUUUUUCCAUCAGAAGUGUAACUCUCUUCCUGAAUAAGGACUGUCCGGAGCUGAUCCAUAAAGCUUGUGUCUGGCCUGGUCCUUCUGCACUAACACCUCUGCAGAAAAGCUUUUCCUUCAUGCAUUCUCCCGACAUGGCUUUCCCCCAAUUCACUCACAAGGACGUUUUCUCUGGCCACCCUGCUUAACACCUCAACCACACCCCAGGGCCUUCAAUGCCCUUCAUCUCUCCUGUCUGUUUCCACAGCUUUGUUACUGUCUAAUAUGUUAUGUGAUUGACAUA